rnacentral:lncRNA from 1 species
AUUCCUGACUGCAAGCCUGGCCCACAAACUUUCAGCUUGCUACAGUCAUUGGUUAGUAGAACUUGGAAGUUUUAGGGACUACAAUACAGUUAAAUACAGAAAAAUCUAGUUGAAUUUAUCACAAAAUGACAAUGUGACUAGUCUACAUUAACAGCAACUAAAAUAUGAAAUCCUAUUGCCUCACCUAUGAAACUCAUCAUCUGGCCACCAGAGAAUCCAUGGAAGGGGAGUAGCACACUAAGUAUGUCCCAUCCCCAUUCUUUGUCACCUUUGCAAGCUCUAUAUUACCUUAUUAGAAAGAUAGUAAAGUAAAUAGAAAUAGCAUCCAAUGUCAUGAACAGAGCAAUAAAAUUACCAGAUAUGCGGUAGUGAAUUUGAUUUGCAUAAAACCUCCAAAUGCAUACCACUAGGUGUCAUGACAGCCACAGAUUCUGGGGCCUCUCCAGUCAAUGGUGAAGGUCUGAGGAAUGUGGGCACAAAUUCCUGACUCCAAGCCUGAUCCAGACACAUGCAACUUGUUGGCAUCAUUAGUAGGCACACAACACUUGGAACACAACUGGACUGCAACAUAUAAGAAAUGACAGAACUGAAAUGCAAUAUGGUUUGUAAAAAUCAUGCUUCACAUACAGAUAUAAGAUCUUAAAUUUUAUCACCCUGUUGUUGCAGCAAAUGUCCUCUGUAUUCAAGGUGUAAAGGGCUUCUAAAGUCUUGACUUGCCCUAACAAAAAAAGUACCAACCCCUGUAAAAAUGUCAGUUAAUUAUAAUCCAGUUUCUGUUGCUGCAGGAUUCAUUUUCUUGCUGUGGAAAAUUGGUCAGAUUAGGAUCCUGCAUCUGUACAGCAUAACUAUAUUAAAAAUGUACACUAAACAUUUCCCUUCUGAAACCCCCCCUCCCCCCUGAUAUCUUACCUGGAGAAUGCCUCUUCAUAGGCAUAUUUGACCACCAGAGUGAGGACCCACCAUAGAAGGGUAGUAGGCCACUGACUCCAGUCCCAGACACCUUCACUUGCCUCUUGUAAACAGCCGGAUGCACAACAACCUCGGAGGCGAAAUUGGCUACCACUUUCCCACCAUACUUCAGCCGUAGCGUGUACACACCAGCGAUGAGGAGCAGAUAUACCACCCUAUAGGAACUAUCUUGUACAAGUUCCAUCCUCAUUAUCGGAACACUUUAUUUUCGUCGGGCUGGGGCCGUCUACUGUCACCUUGAGCCGAUGGCUGCCGGAGCUGUUUAUGUCUAUGGUGAACUCUGCUAGGGUUCCCACGAAACCACCCUUGACCUAAAAAAAGGAUGAAAGCAUCAAAUGUUAUCAUAAAAGCUGUUAGUAUAUACUUUAAAUGAAGAGUAAUGCAAUGUCUCUGGAUGUAGUGGACAUCAUACAUUGGAGGCAUUAGCUGACCAGUCUGCCGGGCCGGUUACAUGCAAAUCAAGCUUGUACAACAAAUCAGUGCUGUCUGAAAAUCCCUGGUCCGUCUCUCCUGCAGUACAGCAUGCAAUACAAUUAGUAUGAGAAUGAAGAUAGAGAGUUUAUGUGUAAAAUCAGCUCACCAGGCUUCCCUGGCCCUUUAGCUGGAAUGUUUGAGCAGUUUAAUUAUGGUUCUAUUCUAACUCUGUCAGGGGUCACCUAAAAUAGACAACAAUUUCAGACAAAGACAAAUAAAUAUAUAUAUUUGUCUUGUUGAAUGGUUCAUAUUUUAAUCAUUCUAUUUUUACUUACUUUGAAAGGACUGCCAGGGACACUGACCCCUCCUCCAAAUCACACAGAUAGCAUGUUUGGCCAGAGUGGUUGGAGUGUAGUAGCAUGUAUAGAGGCUCCGCUCUUUACGAACCACCUCCACAUUGACUGGGACUUCAUCAAUGGGUUAGAGGAAUUAUAUACACAUAGAAUAAGUCCUACUUUAAGGCCAUAUACAACAGUAAUAACUGUAGUGAAUACUAAUGUACAUCAUAUCUAGCACAGUUCAUUAUGGCAAAGAACUUUAGUAAAGUGGGACCGGAGUGCCAAGUCUAGGUCCAAGAGGCUUCUAAACAGCUUCUACCCCCAAGCCAUAAGACUCCUGAACACCUAAUCAAAUGGCUACCCAGACUAUUUGCAGAUGCGAAUUCUGGAGAAGUGCAGAAUGUUCCAAA